rnacentral:rRNA from 1 species
UACGGGGGGGGCAAGCGUUGUUCGGAAUUACUGGGCGUAAAGGGCUCGUAGGCGGCCAACUAAGUCAGACGUGAAAUCCCUCGGCUUAACCGGGGAACUGCGUCUGAUACUGGAUGGCUUGAGUUUGGGAGAGGGAUGCGGAAUUCCAGGUGUAGCGGUGAAAUGCGUAGAUAUCUGGAGGAACACCGGUGGCGAAGGCGGCAUACUGGACCAACACUGACGCUGAGUGAGCGAAAGACAGGGGAGCAAACGGG